AUCGCUUCUCAGCCUUUUGGCAAAGAUAAAGUGUAGUAUCUGUUCUUAUCACUUUAAAAUUGAGAAGGCAUACAUAGAAAAAUGAAGACACAGUAU
ensembl:snRNA U2 U2 spliceosomal RNA